rnacentral:rRNA from 1 species
AUUGAACGCUGGCGGCAUGCUUUACACAUGCAAGUCGGACGAGUGGCGAACGGGUGAGUAACGCAUCGGAACGUACCGAGUAAUGGGGGAUAACUGUACGAAAGGACAGCUAAUACCGCAUAUUAUUCGAGCGGCCGAUGUCUGAUUAGGUAGUUGGUGAGGUAAAGGCUCACCAAGCCGACGAUCUCUAGCUGGUCUGAGAGGAUGACCAGCCACACUGGGACUGAGACACGGCCCAGACUCCUACGGGAGGCAGCAGUGGGGAAUAUUGCGCAAUGGGCGCAACCCUGACACAGCCAUGCCGCGUGAAUGAAGAAGGCCUUCGGGUUGUAAAGUUCUUUCGGUAGCGAGGCGUUAACUACAGAAGAAGCACCGGCUAACUCCGUGCCAGCCGCCGCGGUAAUAC